CCGCCGCCGUAACACAUGCAAGUCGAACGCUCGCAGCAAUGCGGGAGUGGCAGACGGGUGAGUAACGCGUGGGAACAUGCCCUUUGGUUCGGAAUUACUCAGGGAAACUUGAGCUACUACCGGAUAAGCCCUAACGGGGAAAGAUUUAUCGCCGAAUGAUUGGCCCGCGUCCGAUUAGCUAGUUGGUGAGGUAAUGGCUCACCAAGGCGACGAUCGGUAGCUGGUCUGAGAGGAUGAUCAGCCACACUGGGACUGAGACACGGCCCAGACUCCUACGGGAGGCAGCAGUGGGGAAUAUUGGACAAUGGGGGCAACCCUGAUCCAGCCAUGCCGCGUGAGUGAUGAAGGCCCUAGGGUUGUAAAGCUCUUUCGACGGGGACGAUAAUGACGGUACCCGUAGAAGAANCCCCGGCUAACUUCGUGCCAGCAGCCGCGGUAAAAC
rnacentral:rRNA from 1 species